AACGAACGCUGGCGGCAGGCCUAAAACAUGCAAGUCGAACGAACCUUCGGGUUAGUGGCGCACGGGUGAGUAACGCGUGGGAAUGUACCUUUUGGUGCGGAAUAACGUAGGGAAACUUACGCUAAUACCGCAUAAUAUCUUCGGAUCAAAGAUUUAUCGCCAAGAGAUCAGCCCGCGUUAGAUUAGGUAGUUGGUAGGGUAAUGGCCUACCAAGCCUACGAUCUAUAGCUGGUCUGAGAGGAUGAUCAGCCACACUGGAACUGAGACACGGUCCAGACUUCUACGGGAGGCAGCAGUUAGGAAUUUUGGACAAUGGGCGCAAGCCUGAUCCAGCAAUGCCGCGUGCAGGAAGAAGGCCUUCGGGUUGUAAACUGCUUUUGUCAGGGAAGAAAUCUUCUGGGCUAAUACCCCGGGAGGAUGACGGUACCUGAAGAAUAAGCACCGGCUAACUACGUG
rnacentral:rRNA from 1 species